GACGAACGCUGGCGGCGUGCCUAAUACAUGCAAGUCGAGCGAAUCUGAGGGAGCUUGCUCCCAAAGAUUAGCGGCGGACGGGUGAGUAACACGUGGGCAACCUGCCCGUAAGAUUGGGAUAACUCCGGGAAACCGGUGCUAAUACCGAAUAGUUUCUCGUACCACAUGGUACGAGAGGGAAAGUUGGCUUUUAGCUAACGCUUACGGAUGGGCCCGGGGCGCAUUAGCUAGUUGGUGAGGUAACGGCUCACCAAGGCGACGAUGCGUAGCCGACCUGAGAGGGUGAUCGGCCACACUGGGACUGAGACACGGCCCAGACUCCUACGGGAGGCAGCAGUAGGGAAUCUUCCGCAAUGGACGAAAGUCUGACGGAGCAACGCCGCGUGAGCGAAGAAGGCCUUCGGGUCGUAAAGCUCUGUUGUCAGGGAAGAACAAGUACCGUUCGAAUAGGGCGGUACCUUGACGGUACCUGACCAGAAAGCCACGGCUAACUACGUGCCAGCCGCCGCGGUAA
rnacentral:rRNA from 1 species